UAUUUUUACAAUUUUCAUGUGUUUUUUCUGGUAAUGGGACGCUGAAUGGAUCAGAGGAACCAGAAAAAGAAGGAUCGGUUUGUCGUGCUAGCGAAUACAAUUUUGGACUGUGUAAGAGGAUCUCACAAUGCACGGGACUUUUCAAAAAUGUGACAACUCUUAAAUUUCACAAGUUUUGUUCCUUCAGUUGGAAGAGGCCUUUAGUGUGUUGCCCAAUCUGCCAAUUCGAUGAUGAUAUCUACAACCACCUAAGUACUAAACAAGAAAAACCGAAACCCACUG